AGAGUUUGAUCCUGGCUCAGGAUGAACGCUGGCGGCGUGGAUAAGGCAUGCAAGUCGAACGCAUUUAGUUGCGUGGCAAACGGGUUAGUAACGCGUAGGAACGUACCCUCGAGUCGUGGAUAAUCUGGAGAAAUCCAGGAUAAUACACGAUGUACUCUCCGGAGUAAAGAUUUAUCGCUUGAGGAGCGGCCUGCGUCCCAUCAGCUUGUUGGUAAGGUAAUGGCUUACCAAGGCAAUGACGGGUAGGGGGUGUGAGAGCAUGAUCCCCAACAUUGGAACUGAGACACUGUCCAAACUCCUACGGGAGGCUGCAGUCGAGAAUAUUCCGCAAUGGGCGAAAGCCUGACGGAGCGACGCCGCGUGCAAGAUGAAGGCCCUAGGGUCGUAAAUUGCUUUUCUUUGGGAAGAACUUAUAUGACGGUACCAAAGGAAUAAGAGGUUACUAACUCUGUGCCAGCAGUAGCGG
rnacentral:rRNA from 1 species